ensembl:lncRNA
GUUGGAAGAAUGACACCAGCAGCUAUUAGUCUCAAACUCCUGCUGUGGACAGCUCAUCUCAGAUCAGUUCUCUUGGGCAAAACUAACAGAGCAUACUGAGGUCUAGGCCAUGGGAGGAGCUGCUCCUUAUAAGAGUGUUUACAAAGAAUCUGGAACCAUACCUCAUCUGACUCCCUCCCUUAGGUCAACAUGCAUUUCCCGUACUUCCACAGAACCUGUACGCUACAAUGACAUGGACUGGGAAAGAAAGAAGAGCAAAAUUUUCCACUGAGUUGGUUUGGUUACUACUCCAAACAUGAUGCCAUUUGUCAAGGUGGAUUUUCUGUGCCUGGAACGCCGCUUGUCAUCUUAUACAAGGGAGGGUCAUGACUUCAUGCUGAAAUGGUUUUAUAUACUUUUCCUAGUACUUGAAAACUGCAUGUACACCAUUUUCAAUAUCAGAUCAAACAUGAGUGUGUGAGAUCACACACAUGUGGUUGUUGAGAGCACAAUGACUUCAGGUCACACAUAUUCUGUGGAUAUUACUCAUGCAAUAUGAAACACCCCAAACUGAUACACCCAUGCUGUCCACCAUGAUUGUGUUAUUCAGAAUUAAACUCAGAAUGAGUUUUAAAUUCAAUUACUGAACUUAAUUUGAAGGUAGCAAACAGACAGAUUAUGAAUUGAAAGGGAAGAAAUAAAAUUUCUAUUUCUGUUCUUUAUGUUGUGUGACUGUGUGGAUGUGUGGAUUUUAUUUUAAUUGCUAUUCAGUGCAAUUCACCAUUCUGUACGUAUGCAAUUGAUUCCCAAUAACUGAUUCAAAGUUUUCCCAACUCUGCUGUUUGACCCUAAAACUUGUGCUGAUGAUGUGAUAAAAUGAUGUGCUGAUUGCAUAUUACUUGGAACAUCUGCAUUGUCGUGAAGACAAGCAGUGUGUUUUGUCAGAGUUUGGAUAAUGCACUGGGAAAACUAUGCUAAGUCCCUUUUUUACUAACAAGAACAUAACUAUAAAAGCUCUUUUCCUCUCUCACAUGAAGAAUGGACUUAAGGAGUCUGACAAAGCUCUGAAACAAGGUCAUUCCCGUCCCAUCCCUCUAUCAACAGGUCGUAAGGGCAUCAUUAAGAAUUACAGACCCCACACAAGACAGGACAGGGUUUUGUCAGUUCUGUCAACAUCAUAAUCCUUUAAUGGUGAAGAUAGCAGUUUGGACGGCCUAGGAAGUCCAAAAGAUCAGCAUUUACCUGAAAUUGAAAUCUUCUGAAACAUUAUAAAUCUGCUUACUGUAACUUCUGAUCUGUGUAAUGCAUUCUUGCUGAUUAUUUCAAAAAAAAGAAAAGAAAAAAAUCUUACUAACCCCAAUCUUUUGAUCCGUAGUGUAAGUUUACAAAUCUUUGGUCUCUGUUGAGCAGUAUGUUUUUAUUGUGUAUACAACACAUGCUUUUUAAAUACAUAUAUAAUUUGUCAUGUCAUUCAGUCAAGUUUGAUU